CCUACGGGAGGCAGCAGUGGGGAAUAUUGCACAAUGGGGGAAACCCUGAUGCAGCGACGCCGCGUGAGUGAAGAAGUAUCUCGGUACGUAAAGCUCUAUCAGCAGGGAAGAAAAUGACGGUACCUGACUAAGAAGCCACGGCUAACUACGUGCCAGCAGCCGCGGGAAUACGUAGGGGGCAAGCGUUAUCCGGAUUUACUGGGUGUAAAGGGAGCGUAGACGGCAGGUCAAGUCAGGAGUGAAAUCCCGGGGCUUAACCCGGGAACUGCUUUGGAAACUGUGCGGCUGGAGUGCCGGAGGGGUAAGUGGAAUUCCUAGUGUAGGGGUGAAAUGCGUAGAUAUUAGGAGGAACACCGGUGGCGAAGGCGGCUAACUGGACUGUAACUGACGUUGAGGAUCGAAAGCGUGGGGAGCAAACAGGAUUAGAUACCCGUGUAGUC
rnacentral:rRNA from 1 species